CUACGGGGCGCUGCAGUGAGGAAUUUUGCGCAAUGGGGGGAACCCUGACGCAGCAACGCCGUGUGAGUGAAGAAGGCCUUUGGGUCGUAAAGCUCUGUCAACUGGGAAGAAGUUACUGUGCUUUAAUAGAGUGCAGUAUUGACGGUACCAGUGGAGGAAGCGUCGGCUAGCUCCGUGCCAGCAGCCGCGGUAACACGGGGGACGCAAGCGUUAUUCGGAAUUAUUGGGCGUAAAGGGCGCGUAGGCGGUCUUGUCGGUCAGGUGUGAAAGCCCGGGGCUCAACCCCGGACGUGCACUUGAAACAGCAAGACUUGAGUACGGGAGAGGAAAGCGGAAUUCCUGGUGUAGAGGUGAAAUUCGUAGAUAUCAGGAGGAACACCGAUGGCGAAGGCAGCUUUCUGGACCGAAACUGACGCUGAGGCGCGAAGGCGUGGGUAGCGAACGGGAUUAGAUACCCUUGUAGUC
rnacentral:rRNA from 1 species